rnacentral:rRNA from 1 species
UACGAAGGGGGCUAGCGUUGCUCGGAAUCACUGGGCGUAAAGGGUGCGUAGGCGGGUCUUUAAGGCAGGGGUGAAAUCCUGGAGCUCAACUCCAGAACUGCCUUUGAUACUGAGGAUCUUGAGUUCGGGAGAGGUGAGUGGAACUGCGAGUGUAGAGGUGAAAUUCGUAGAUAUUCGCAAGAACACCAGUGGCGAAGGCGGCUCGCUGGACCGGUUCUGACGCUGAUGCGCGAAAGCGUGGGGAGCAAACGGG